rnacentral:rRNA from 1 species
CCUACGGGUGGCAGCAGUGAGGAAUAUUGGUCAAUGGCCGAGAGCCUGAACCAGCCAAGUCGCGUGAGGGAAGACGACCCUACGGGUUGUAAACCUCUUUUGUCGGGGAGCAAAGCGAGUCACGUGUGACUCAUUGAGAGUACCCGAAGAAAAAGCAUCGGCUAACUCCGUGCCAGCAGCCGCGGUAAUACGGAGGAUGCGAGCGUUAUACGGAUUUAUUGGGGUUAAAGGGUGGGCAGGCGGAGGUGCAAGUCAGCGGUAAAAGUGCGGGGCUCAACCCCGUACUGCAGUUGAAACUGGAGCCCUUGAGUGCGCGAGAAGUAUGCGGAAUUCGAGGUGUAGCGGUGAAAUGCAUAGAUAUCACGAAGAACACCGAUUGCGAAGGCAGCAUACCGGCGCGUAACUGACGCUCAUGCACGAAAGCGUGGGUAUCGAACAGGAUUAGAUACCCCAGUAGUC